rnacentral:snRNA from 1 species
CCUGAGCGGUUAACUGAGCAA